UGAGCUUUCCUGCUGUCAACCUUUUUUCACACUUUUUUCCUUCAUUUCCCUUUGCGAUCAUACAGUAAUCCUGGCUUUUUUUACAAUUUAUAAUAUUUGUGGAAGUUCUAGCCCUUUUCCCACUUAUCUCUCACAAAAUAUAUAGACAUUUGUUAGUUUAAUUGCAAUAAUUUCUAAAAAUGUGUUUGAUUGUAGAAGCUUCCAGUUAAUAAAUACUACUGUGUGCCGGGGAUUACCCUAAAUGCUUUAUCUUUUUUAUCUCAUUCUUACAACAUGAUUACUAUUCCUACUUUAUAUAUAAGGAAAUUGAAACCUAGCAAGGUGAAGUAAUUUGAGCUAAGUUAUGUAAAGGGAGUGGCAGGACAAGAUUCAGACUCAUGUCUGACUUUCUUUGCGUGUGUGUGUGUGUGUGUGUGUGUACGUACCACUAAGCAUUGAAAAUUGGAAGCGCCUUCUCUUAGCCCUCUUUACUGUCCAAGUAACCAAAGUAUUAUCU
rnacentral:lncRNA from 1 species